GAAAAAAAUUUUGGAUGACAACUGAAAAUAUGCAGGAAGCUACACAGUUUUAAACAAUUCUUUUGGGGGUUAUGUAAGCAACAUACUUACAGAUUCCUGGGCUAAGAUAAUGCAUUUCAAGAAAAGAAGGCCCUCUCUUUGUAUCUCUUUGGUCUCUUUUCUUCUUGGAAGCCAAUGGCUAAUGACAGGCACGCAGUGCACUUGAGCAGGAUUCCAUGCUCGAUGGCAGCCCUUUGCUUUCUUCAGUGAGAACCAAGCUUAUUUUGAUAAUGUUUUCUUUUCUCUUUUCUCCGUGGUAGAUUUCCACUGUCACACAGCCAUGAGCACAUCAGGAGGACUCAAGAAUCAUAUAAAGCUGCAACUGCUUCUUGCAACUUUUCUUCCUGCGGUUUACAAACCCCACUCCUCGGGUUCCACAGACCCUCCCUCCGGCUCACUGAUGGAGUCCGGGACUCUUGGGAGAUGAUGACAAUCAGCUGUCGUGGUUUAGACGGCUCCAUGUCUCAAAUCUCAAGCCCUCACCUCACUCUUAACUCCAGACCUACAUUUCCAACUCUUCACCAAGCAUAUUCUGCUUGAAAACCCACUGUAAAGUCAAACUCAAGAUGUCAGAGAUGUAACUGCUAUCUCUUCCCUUUAAUAUUUGCUGCAUGGGUUGUCUACCUGAUGAAGCUUCCUGUGGCGCUAUUUUGAUCCUUUCACACUUACUUGCUCAAAAGCCUUUGGUGGGGGGUGCCUGGGUGGCUCAGUUGGUUGAGUGUCCAACUUCGCCUCAGGUCAUGGUCUUGUGGUUUUGGGGUUUGAUCCCCACGACAGGCUCUAUGCUGACAGCUCAGAGCCUGGACCCUGCUUCAGAUUCUGUGUUUCCCUCUCUCUCUGACCUUCCCCUGCACAUGCUCUGUCUCUCUCCUUCUCUCUCUCUCUCUC